GGAUCUCCCUCCUGAGGGAAGAUUCUCUCUGAGAGUCUUACAUAUGGGGGCUCGUCCGGGAUCGGAGAUCCUCUGCCUAGAGACCACCGACCACCCACCGGGAGGCUAAAAGACCUACAGGUGAUACAGAAAGAAAUCUGCUCACAGCUGACAGCAGCCUAUGCCCCGGAGACCCCUGAGACAUCCCAUCAGUUCCAGGUUAGAGACUACAGCUACAUACAACGACACGGAGCCCAGACACUCGAGCCUCGCUGGAAAGGACCGUACCUGGUGCUGCUGACCACCCUGACAGCCAUCAAGUCUCACCCUCACCAGCCGAGUACUAGCUGUUGGAGCUGAGAGCUGGGACCUAGAGGGACACUCAGAUCUUCAAAAAGCUCCCUAGACUUAAGUGAUUGGGAGGUUGCUAUAAUGCUUACUUGAGGAGUGUGUUUUAGAAACAAGAAUUUCAUGUUUGCCUGUUUGCCCUGGGUUCCCUCGGAAUAGGUGUAAGGAUAGGCUUGAUUUUUAUUACAAAUGAUGUAAUAUUACAUAUGUUAGUACUCCUAACACUUCUUGGGACUGUGCCUCAGGGAUCACAACCUAUAUAAGUUUAGAAGUUCUAAAAGACCUUGGUGUAUAGGUUCAGAUAGUGUCCAGAUUAGAAUCCUGAUGCUAAAGACUUAAUAAGACACAGAAGAGAGUUGAGAAUUAUUUAAGGCUAUCUAGGUGCUACAAGGGCAGCACAAGGACAUCUGCUGUUGCCCUAUAAUGCAAGGCUUAUAGAGAAUUCAAAACUGCCAUUGACUCAGAUAUGAAAAGAGUAAAAAAGACUUUUUAGCUGACCUCCAAGAACACCUAACCUCCCUCUCAGAGGUAGUCCUUCAAAAUAGAAAAAGAUUAGACCUGAUAUUCCUUAAAGAAGGAGUAUGUGUGCUACACUAAAAGAAGAAUGUUGUUUCUAUGCAGAUCAGACAGGAAUAAUAAGAGAUAUAGACUUUCAGUCAUUCAAACUUUUGUGAUGAGACAACAGUAUCAGAUGAUAAAACAACAAAAAACAGAGGUACCUUAACCAAGUUGAGUGGAAGAUUCCACUCAAGGACAAAAAAAGAAAAUGGGGGAAUGAAAGACCCCCUCCCAGAAAGGGAAUUGUACAAGCCCAAGGCCCUCAACUAUAGAAAUAAAAAGUAAGUUUUUAGAUAUGUGGGACAAGCUGACCCAUCAUUUAGACGAAACAGACCAGAAAAGAAAACAAAAUGCAGAAACCAGACUAAAUUAUGGGCACUGCUCCAUGGGCCACCUGGCAGGAAAAAGAAAAAGUCCCUGACCCCCCGGAAGCCCUGACCACCAUGUACUUUUUGCUAACUCACUGUUAUGAUUAUAGCCAAAAUAGGUAACAUACACGUAUGCCUCAUUUACUCCACCAAUCACAUCCCUGUAACCAUGCAUCUGCUUCUGUAAGCCUGCUUCUGCUCCCCAAUGCCUUAUAAAAACCCGUCCCUGGUUCUGCUAGGCGCGCCAGUCUUCCGAAUUGACUGGGACGCCCACAGAUACCUGUGUAUCCUGAUCAAUAAAAAUCCUCUUGCUGAUUGCA